CCUACGGGAGGCAGCAGUAGGGAAUUUUCCGCAAUGGGCGAAAGCCUGACGGAGCAAUACCGCGUGAGGGAUGACUGCCUAUGGGUUGUAAACCUCUUUUUUCAGGGAGGAAUAAAUGACGUGUACCUGAAGAAUAAGCAUCGGCUAACUCCGUGCCAGCAGCCGCGGUAAGACGGAGGAUGCAAGUGUUAUCCGGAAUCACUGGGCGUAAAGCGUCUGUAGGUGGCUCGACAAGUCAACUGUUAAAUCUUGAAGCUCAACUUCAAAAUCGCAGUCGAAACUAUCGGACUAGAGUAUAGUAGAGGUAAAGGGAAUUUCCAGUGGAGCGGUGAAAUGCGUAGAGAUUGGAAAGAACACCGAUGGCGAAGGCACUUUACUGGGCUAUUACUGACACUCAGAGACGAAAGCUAGGGUAGCAAAUGGGAUUAGAUACCCCAGUAGUCCUAGCCGUAAACAAUGGAUACUAGGUGUUGAACAGAUCGACCUGUGCAGUACCAAAGCUAACGCGUUAAGUAUCCCGCCUGGGAAGUAUGCACGCAAGUGUGAAACUCAAAAGGAAUUGAACGGCNGAGAGNGCGAGACGACACGAGGAGAG
rnacentral:rRNA from 1 species